GCAUAAAACAUCGCCAGCCAAUUUUUUAAUCAUAAGACCCCCCAAACUUCUUCUCCACUACUUUUCCUUGGGAUGUGGGCAAGGGGGUGGGGAAUAAGUAGGCCCCAUUGGAGGGCACCCUCUGGGCUCAGAGAACCAGCCAUCCCCAGAAAGCCGAUGGGAGGAGCAGCUUCUGGAGUGGCAGUUAGUCCAAGGCCUGUUGGAUCCAGAGCAGGAAGGCAGGGCUGGACCCGGGGACCACAGGCACACAGGGGCCAGCACACAGUGUUCCAAGUCACAGGAAACAAUGCUCUGUGCUUUGUGAAUUGUUCUCUGAUUGCUGGGAAAGGGAUGUGUUUGGCUCCUCGGCCUGUCCUUCAUCUGGGGACCUCCUUUUCCUCCAUUGGCAGAACACCACCAAUCCAUCCUUUCUGGCUUCCAGGUUCUCUGCUUCCAAGAAACACAAAUUCGAGGCUGUGAAAUGAAGACGUGCUCAUUUCCCACUCCAGAUGAUGCCUGGCCGGCCAGCGACGCCACUUCCAACUCUGUUCUGUCCCCCCCCCCCGUUUUCUCUGUUGGAAGGUGUACGAGUCAUCGACUUACUCAGCUAUUUGUUAAAAAUGAAAGAACUACUUUAUUCCGGCUUGCUUUCCUCUCCACCGGGCAGGCCACUGCGUCCAGAUCUGGAGGCCUGAGGAGGCAGCUGCACCGCUGGCAGGAACCAGGCCCAAACCCAGGCUGGGGACGAGAUGGGCCCUCCCCAGAGCAUCCGCUUCUCCAGGUCCAUGCUUUGUUCUUUCUGCUUCCCCAGCACUAGAAAUCCAUCCAAUUUGUUUCUUUCUCUGAGCAUUUGGCCUUUGUCACCUUCUCCAAAGUGCUCACGCAGGUCAGAUCCUCUCUAGUUUGCUUCCUUAGACAUUUUUAAAACUAAACUUUUCAUGGUCAAAUAGUUUCAGAUUUACAGAAAAAUUGGAAGACAGUACAGAGGGUUCCCCCAAUCCUACCCCAUUUCCCCCUGGUUAGCAUUUUAUAAUAGUAUGGCAUGUUUAUCAGAGUUCUCACAAUAUCCAUAGGUUAUUAUUAAGUGAAGCUGACCCUUUACUCUGGAACCCCCUUGAUUUUCACCCACGUCCCUUUUCCAAUGUGGCACUCCACCAGGGACAUGACAAGGCAUUCAGUCAUUAGGUUUCCUGUGUCUCCUCUUUGCCAUAGCAGACAUUCUGAGAUAUUCCCUAGUUUUUGAUGACUUUGACAGUUUUGAGGCACAUCAGCCAGGUAUACUGUAGAAGUGCCUCGAUAAGGAUUUGUCUAAGGCUUUUCUUACAAUUAGAUGAGCCACAUGGGUAUGGGAGCAAGGCCAUGGGGGCAAAGUGCCACUAUUGCCAUUCUUAACAAGGACACGUGCUGCCCACAUGCUCACCAGUGCGGACGCCAACCUCCUUCUCCGGAUAAGGCAGCAUCUGUCAGGCUUCUCCACCAGGAGGUUGCUGCUCUUCUCCUUUCCACGCUGCUGGCUGGAAGUCUGUUUGCAGCCCACGCAGAAGCAGUGGAGUGGUGCUCAUGGCUUCAUUGAGGACAGAGUGUCCACAUAAAUCAUUUGGAAUUCUUUGACCCAGGAGAUUUGUCUACUUCUCGCUUAUUUAAUUAUUUAUUUAUACCACUGUGAAUUCAGGGAUAUUGAUUUUGCAUUUUGGGUUACAAUAAAAUAUUACAUUAUUUGUU